rnacentral:rRNA from 1 species
AGGUUGGCUCAGAAGCAGCCAUCCUUUAAAGAGUGCGUAACAGCUCACUAGUCGAGUGACCCUGCGCCGAAAAUGUACCGGGGCUAAGCCUGAUACCGAAACUGCGGAUUGUAGGAAACUAUAGUGGUAGGGGAGCGUUGUAUACGAGCAGAAGCCGUACCGUGAGGAGCGGUGGAUUGUAUAGAAGUGAGAAUGCCGGUGUGAGUAGCGAGAUGUAGGUGAGAAUCCUACACACCGAAAGCCCAAGGAUUCCAGGGGAAGGUUCGUCCGCCCUGGGUAAGUCGGGACCUAACGCGAGGCCGAAAGGCGUAGUGGAUGGAAAGCAGGCGAAAGAUUCCUGCACCCGUAUAUGGAGCGAAGGAGUGACGGAGACGGAUAGUGUGACCCUCUUAAUGGAUUGAGGGCGAAGCGAAGCGGCUGGUUACCAGGCAAAUCCGGUAACCAUAAGGCUAGAGCGUGACAGGUAAGCGAAAUCUUAGGAAAGUAGCGAAGCACAUGAUGACGGCUUCCAGGAAAAGCUUCUGGCAAUGCAUAUGCGGCCCGUACCAAAACCGACACAGGUGGGCAGGGAGAGAAUCCCGAGGUGAGCGAGAGAACUGUUGCCAAGGAACUCGGCAAAAUGACUCCGUAAGUUAGCGAGAAGGAGUGCUUAAGCAAUUAAGCCGCAGUGAAGAGGCCCAAGCGACUGUUUAACUAAAACACAGCUCUCUGCGAAGUCGCAAGACGAAGUAUAGGGGGUGACACCUGCCCGGUGCUGGAAGGUUAAGAGGAUCUGUUAAGAGCGAUCUGAAGCAGUGAUCCGAAGCCCCAGUGAACGGCGGCCGUAACUAUAACGGUCCUAAGGUAGCGAAAUUCCUUGUCAGGUAAGUUCUGACCCGCACGAAAGGUGUAACGAUUUGGGCGCUGUCUCGGCAGCAGACUCGGUGAAAUCUUAGUACCUGUGAAAAUGCAGGUUACCCGCAACUAGACGGAAAGACCCCAUGGAGCUUUACUGCAGCCUGAUAUUGAAUUCUGGUCAUACAUGUACAGGAUAGGUGGGAGACAAAGAGACGUGCACGCCAGUGUACGAGGAGUCGACGUUGGGAUACCACUCUUGUGUGACCGGGGUUCUAACCUGGUAUCGAGAACAGGUACGGGGAGAGUGUCAGGUGGGCAGUUUGACUGGGGCGGUCGCCUCCCAAAGAGUAACGGAGGCGCCCAAAGGUACGCUCAGAUUGGAUGGAAACCAAUCGUCGAGUGCAAUUGCAGAAGCGUGCUUGACUGUGAGACAGACAAGUCGAACAGGGACGAAAGUCGGGAAUAGUGAUCCGGCGGUGCCGAAUGGAAGGGCCGUCGCUCAACGGAUAAAAGCUACCCUGGGGAUAACAGGCUGAUCUCGCCCAAGAGUUCACAUCGACGGCGAGGUUUGGCACCUCGAUGUCGGCUCAUCGCAUCCUGGAGCUGGAUUCGGUUCCAAGGGUUGGGCUGUCCGCCCAUUAAAGCGGUACGCGAGCUGGGUUCAGAACGUCGUGAGACAGUUCGGUCCCUAUCUGUUGUGGGCGAAGGAGAUCUGCGGAGAGCUGUCCUCAGUACGAGAGGACCGGGAUGGACCUACCGCUGGUGCACCGGUUGUUCCGCCAGGGGCAUAGCCGGGUAGCUAAGUAGGGAAAGGAUAAGCGCUGAAAGCAUCUAAGCACGAAGCCUACUCCAAGAUGAGAUCUCCCAUUCGCAAGAAGUAAGACCCCUUAAAGACGAUAAGGUAGAUAGGCCAGGGAUGGAAGUGCAGUGAUGUACGGAGUUGACUGGUACUAAUCGGUCGAGGACUUAAUCAG